AUGAACGCUAGCGGCAGGACUUAAUACGAUGCAAGUUGAGGGGCAGAUGAUAUAACGCGAGUAUAUUGAUGGCGACCGGCGGACGGGUGAGUAAUAGGUAGGAGACCUACCUCAUACAGGGGGAUAGCAUAGAGAAAUCUGUGGUAAUACCCCAUGAGGUUAUAUGAAUAGAGGCAUAUAAUCAAAGCAUAAGCGAUUAUGCGGUAUGAGAGGGGCCUACUGACCAUUAGCUAGUUGGUGAGGUAAGGGCUCACCAAGGCGAAGAUGGUUAGGGGUUUUGAGAGAGAGACCCCCCCACAUUGGAACUGAGAGACGGUCCAGACUCCUACGGGAGGCAGCAGUAGGGAAUAUUGGGCAAUGGGCGAAAGCCUGACCCAGCCAUGCCGCGUGAAGGAAGACGGCCUUAUGGGUUGUAAACUUCUUUACUACGCGAAUAGAGGUUAGUACGAGAUACUAAUAGGAAGGUAGUGUAGUAAAAAGCACCGGCUAACUCCGUG
rnacentral:rRNA from 1 species